rnacentral:rRNA from 1 species
GCUGGGUGUAGACCCGAAACCAAGUGAUCUAUCCAUGGCCAGGAUGAAGGUGCCGUAACAGGUACUGGAGGUCCGAACCGACUAAUGUUGCAAAAUUAGCGGAUGAGCUGUGGAUAGGGGUGAAAGGCUAAACAAACUUGGAGAUAGCUGGUUCUCUCCGAAAACUAUUUAGGUAGUGCCUCAAGUAUUACCUGCGGGGGUAGAGCACUGUUUUGGCUAGGGGGUCAUGGCGACUUACCAAACCAAGGCAAACUCCGAAUACCGCAGAGUACAGCUUGGGAGACAGAGCACCGGGUGCUAACGUCCGGACUCAAGAGGGAAACAACCCAGACCGCCAGCUAAGGUCCCUAAAAUUGGCUAAGUGGGAAACGAAGUGGGAAGGCUAAAACAGUCAGGAUGUUGGCUUAGAAGCAGCCAUCAUUUAAAGAAAGCGUAAUAGCUCACUGAUCGAGUCGUCCUGCGCGGAAGAUGUAACGGGGCUAAGCCAGUUACCGAAGCUGCGGAUUUGCAAUUUAUUGCAAGUGGUAGGAGAGCGUUCUGUAAGCCUGUGAAGGUGUCUUGUGAAGGAUGCUGGAGGUAUCAGAAGUGCGAAUGCUGACAUGAGUAGCGAUAAAGGGGGUGAAAAGCCCCCUCGCCGUAAGCCCAAGGUUUCCUACGCAACGUUCAUCGGCGUAGGGUGAGUCGGCCCCUAAGGCGAGGCAGAGAUGCGUAGCUGAUGGGAAACAGGUCAAUAUUCCUGUACCGAUUACAAGUGCGAUGUGGGGACGGAGAAGGUUAGCUCAGCCAACUGUUGGAUAUGUUGGUUCAAGCCUGUAGUCGUGCCUGGUAGGCAAAUCCGCCGGGCUAAGAUGAGGGGUGAUAACGAGUGUGCUUGCACACGAAGUGAGUGAUACCCUGCUUCCAGGAAAAGCCACUAAGCUUCAGCUUGUAACGACCGUACCGCAAACCGACACUGGUGCGCGAGAUGAGUAUUCUAAGGCGCUUGAGAGAACUCAGGAGAAGGAACUCGGCAAAUUGAUACCGUAACUUCGGGAGAAGGUAUGCCCCUAGUAGGUGAACUCGAACAGAGGGAGCCCAAUGGGGUUGCAAAAAAUCGGUGGCUGCGACUGUUUAAUAAAAACACAGCACUCUGCAAACACGAAAGUGGACGUAUAGGGUGUGACGCCUGCCCGGUGCUGGAAGAUUAAAUGAUGGGGUGCAAGCUCUUGAUUGAAGUCCCAGUAAACGGCGGCCGUAACUAUAACGGUCCUAAGGUAGCGAAAUUCCUUGUCGGGUAAGUUCCGACCUGCACGAAUGGCGUAACGAUGGCCACACUGUCUCCUCCAGAGACUCAGCGAAGUUGAAAUGUUUGUGAUGAUGCAAUCUCCCCGCGGAAAGACGGAAAGACCCCAUGAACCUUUACUGUAGCUUUGUAUUGGACUUUGAACAGAUCUGUGUAGGAUAGGUGGGAGGCUUUGAAGCGUGGUCGCUAGAUCACGUGGAGCCAACGUUGAAAUACCACCCUGGUGUGUUUGAGGUUCUAACCUAGGUCCAUUAUCUGGAUCGGGGACAGUGCAUGGUAGGCAGUUUGACUGGGGCGGUCUCCUCCCAAAGCGUAACGGAGGAGUUCGAAGGUACGCUAGUUACGGUCGGACAUCGUGACGAUAGUGCAAUGGCAUAAGCGUGCUUAACUGCGAGACUGACAAGUCGAGCAGGUGCGAAAGCAGGACAUAGUGAUCCGGUGGUUCUGAAUGGAAGGGCCAUCGCUCAACGGAUAAAAGGUACUCUGGGGAUAACAGGCUGAUA